ACUAUUAGCUUGGCCCAAGCAGAGAUCUCAAUUCUCAAGGGAGUGGGUGUGCUGGCUGGCUGCAACAAGCAAAGCAGCAUCUUCUAUUCAUUCCAUAUUUCCACUCUCCUCCAUCUACUACACUACACUUGUUACUCAUUCUUCACUCCAUCCAUUCAAAACCCCUUCCCCCCAAUCCUUUUUCCUUUUUCCUCUUCUUCACAAGGUUUUGAGAAAUUCGUUAAACGAUGUCGGGUAGGAACCGCGGCCAACCUCAUCCUCCUCCGCCACCGCCUCAUGGCGGAAUGUCACCGCCGAUGCACGAUCACAUGUUCGGCAUGAGAGCCCUAGGCGUAGUAGGGCCAGUCCCUCCACCUCACCCAGCGCUUCUAGAAGAAUUCAGAGAAUCGCACUUAGGGUUAGGUCCACGGCCACUCCCUCUCCACCCCGCCGCCAUCCUCGAGGAGCAGCUCGCGGCGCAGCACCAAGAAAUCCAAGGCCUCUUGGGGGACAACCAGCGUCUCGCCGCCACACACGUGGCGCUGAAGCAGGAGCUUGAGGCCGCACAGCACGAAUUGCAGAGAAUGGCGCACUUCAAGGACUCCCUGAUGGUCGAUACUGACGCCAGGAUGAGGGAAUUGUACGACAAGUCGGUUCAAUUGGAAGCCGAGCUUCGUGGCGCCGAAGCCAUGAGGGCCGAGCUUCUUCAGGUUCACGCCGACAUCAAGGAGCUAACUGCCGUCCGGCAGGAUUUGUCCGGCCAGGUGCAGGCCAUGACGCAGGAUUUGGCCCGCAUGACCGCCGAUUUGAAACGAGUUCCGGCUUUGAGAGCUGACGUGGAGGCCAUGAAACAAGAGUUGCAAUGCGCAAGAGCUGCCAUUGACUACGAGAAGAAAGGAUUUGCGGAAAACUAUGAACAUGGUCAAGUGAUGGAGAAGAAGUUGAUCUCGAUGGCUCGGGAGAUGGAGAAGCUUCGUGCUGAGAUUGCGAAUGCAGAGAAAAGAGCACGUGCUGCUGCAGCGGCUGGGAAUCUCGGUCCAGGGUAUAAUGCAAAUUAUGGCAAUGCUGAGGCUGGAUAUGCUGGAAAUCCUUACCCUGCCAUGUAUGGCAUGAAUCCGGUUCAGCCUGGUGUGGAGAAUUUUCCUCAGUAUGGACCUGGACCUGCUGCUUGGGGUGCAUAUGACAUGCAGAGAGCUCAAGGACACAGAUAGAUCUCUUCUAUCCUGUUAAGAAAUCUUUAUAACUGCCAAGCAUAUUUUAGCAUGAUGUAUUUUGCUGGCAUCAUAUAUUCAACAGUGGAGCAGAAAGGAUGGGAUUCUUAGUCGAGUACGUUAUGCAGCUUUCUGAAUGGGUUAUGAACUUUGGGCCCAAACUUUCUGCCUCUGAUUCUAUUACUCACACCUGUAUGUUGAGGUCGUCAAGGAUUUUAAUAAGGUGUAAUCUGCGUGAACUCUGCGGCUGCUGGAAGGGAAAGGACGUACCAGCUUACAAGAGAAGAUGAAUAUGGCGGCAUAGAGCUACCUUGUUUGGCUGUGGUGCUUCCUCUGCUACAAUUUUUAGAAGGCUGAUGUUAGGUUACCAAGUUUUUAUUCAAUGCUUCAGAAUGUUUACAACUGUAUCUUUAUACUCUCUCAACUAACCCAAAUGACAGCUCACUAUACACGUGUUGGCUAAUGACUUAACCACCUAUUGAAUACAUGCAAUCACUAACAGAUACGAGAAUGGUAUGUG